UACGUAGGGGGCGAGCGUUGUCCGGAUUUAUUGGGCGUAAAGAGCGUGUAGGCGGCCAGGCAGGUCUGUUGUGAAAACUGGAGGCUCAACUUCCAGACGUCGACAGAAACCGCUUGGCUAGAGUCCGGAAGAGGAGAGUGGAAUUCCUGGUGUAGCGGUGAAAUGCGCAGAUAUCAGGAAGAACACCGAUGGCGAAGGCAGCUCUCUGGGACGGUACUGACGCUGAGACGCGAAAGCGUGGGGAGCGAACAGG
rnacentral:rRNA from 1 species